rnacentral:rRNA from 1 species
UUGGUUAAGUUAGAAAGGGCGCACGGUGGAUGCCUUGGCACUAGGAGCCGAAGAAGGACGGGACUAACACCGAUAUGCUUUGGGGAGCUGUACGUAAGCGUUGAUCCAGAGAUUUCCGAAUGGGGGAACCCACUAUCUUUAGUCGGAUAGUAUCCUUACGUGAAUACAUAGCGUGAGGAAGGCAGACCCAGGGAACUGAAACAUCUAAGUACCUGGAGGAAGAGAAAGAAAAAUCGAUUUCCUGAGUAGCGGCGAGCGAAACGGAAAGAGCCCAAACCAAGAAGCUUGCUUCUUGGGGUUGUAGGACACUCUAUACGGAGUUACAAAAGAAAGUUAUAAAUGAAGCGGUCUGGAAAGGCCCGCCAAAGACGGUAACAGCCCGGUAGUUGAAAUGGCUUUCCCUCCAGAGUGGAUCCUGAGUACGGCGGAACACGUGAAAUUCCGUCGGAAUCCGGGAGGACCAUCUCCCAAGGCUAAAUACUCCCUAGUGACCGAUAGUGAACCAGUACCGUGAGGGAAAGGUGAAAAGCACCCCGGAAGGGGAGUGAAACAGUUCCUGAAACCGUGUGCCUACAAGUAGUUAGAGCCCGUUAAUGGGUGAUAGCGUGCCUUUUGUAGAAUGAACCGGCGAGUUACGAUUUGUUGCAAGGUUAAGCGGAAAAAGCGGAGCCGUAGCGAAAGCGAGUCUGAAUAGGGCGCAUAAGUAACAGGUCGUAGACCCGAAACCAGGUGAUCUACCCAUGUCCAGGAUGAAGGUAAGGUAAUACUUACUGGAGGUCCGAACCCACGCACGUUGAAAAGUGCGGGGAUGAGGUGUGGGUAGCGGAGAAAUUCCAAUCGAACUUGGAGAUAGCUGGUUCUCUCCGAAAUAGCUUUAGGGCUAGCCUCGAGGUAAAGAGUCAUGGAGGUAGAGCACUGUUUGGACUAGGGGCCCUUCUCGGGUUACCGAAUUCAGAUAAACUCCGAAUGCCAUGUACUUAUACUCGGGAGUCAGACUGCGAGUGAUAAGAUCCGUAGUCGAAAGGGAAACAGCCCAGACCACCAGUUAAGGUCCCCAAAUAUAUGUUAAGUGGAAAAGGAUGUGGGGUUGCUUAGACAACCAGGAUGUUGGCUUAGAAGCAGCCACCAUUGAAAGAGUGCGUAAUAGCUCACUGGUCGAGUGACCCCGCGCCGAAAAUGUACCGGGGCUAAACAUAUUACCGAAACUGUGGAUGAACCUCUUUAGAGGUUCGUGGUAGGAGAGCGUUCUAAGGGCGGUGAAGUCAGACCGGAAGGACUGGUGGAGCGCUUAGAAGUGAGAAUGCCGGUAUGAGUAGCGAAAGAAGGGUGAGAAUCCCUUCCACCGAAUAUCUAAGGUUUCCUGAGGAAGGCUCGUCCGCUCAGGGUUAGUCGGGACCUAAGCCGAGGCCGAUAGGCGUAGGCGAUGGACAACAGGUAGAGAUUCCUGUACCAGUGCUAAUUGUUUAACCGAUGGGGUGACACAGAAGGAUAGGGAAUCGCACGAAUGGAAAUGUGCGUCCAAGCAGUGAGUGUGAGAAGUAGGCAAAUCCGCUUCUCGCGAAGCAUGAGCUGUGAUGGGGAAGGAAAUUAAGUACGGAAGUUCCUGAUUUCACGCUGUCAAGAAAAGCCUCUAGGAAGAGUAGUACUGCCCGUACCGCAAACCGACACAGGUAGAUGAGGAGAGAAUCCUAAGGUGAGCGAGAGAACUCUCGUUAAGGAACUCGGCAAAAUGACCCCGUAACUUCGGGAGAAGGGGUGCUCUAUUAGGGUGCAAGCCCGAGAGAGCCGCAGUGAAUAGGCCCAGGCGACUGUUUAGCAAAAACACAGGUCUCUGCAAAACC